rnacentral:rRNA from 1 species
UACGAAGGGGGCUAGCGUUGCUCGGAAUUACUGGGCGUAAAGGGCGCGUAGGCGGCCUCUUAAGUCGAACGUGAAAUCCCCGGGCUCAACCCGGGAACUGCGUCCGAUACUGGUUGGCUUGAAUCCGGGAGAGGGAUGCGGAAUUCCAGGUGUAGCGGUGAAAUGCGUAGAUAUCGGGAGGAACACCAGUGGCGAAGGCGGCGAUCUGGGUCGAUACUGACGCUGAGGUGCGAAAGCGUGGGGAGCAAACAGG